rnacentral:misc_RNA from 1 species
AAAAAAAAAAAAAAAAAAUGUUGUUGGUUGGUUCCAUUUCUGGAUUUUAGGUGGUGCAAGCAAGAGUUGGCUGGUUUUCUUCUGUAUUGUAGUUGUCUACAGAAGAUUGAAGACUCUAUAAUUUUGUAUAUGGUAGUUAUUGUAACUUGGUGUCCUAUGAUGUGCUUCUUGAUUGCAAUAUUAGCAGUUGGGUUUUGCUGAAACUACAUGGAUGUAUUUGAGUUAGAAAAUUCAUCUGUCCUUAUGGUUGAUUUGCGAGUAUAUUGAGCACAGGAAUAGUUAAAGUUUCAAUGUACGAGUCAACUCCAGAUUGAAGCUGUUAAAUCACUCUAGGCUCGAGUUUAGUUCAGAGCU